CUAAAAGAUACUGCACAUGAUGUGUGGUUGCUCUGUUGAUGUUGUGAACCCACAAACACACUUGCGUGUUCAGCAAUAUCUUGAGAGCUGAACUUCCAAGUAAGUCUUUGUAAACUUCUUCUCAUGAUAAAGAAAAAAGUUAUAAGAAGGAUUAUAUCUUCUUCCAUCUUUGUAUUCAACAUUGUUGAUCAUAGCAUCAAACGCUAAAAACAUGAUAGAUGAUAUACUAUUCUCAGUCUUAGUUCAUCUGAUUAAAAGCCAUAAAAAAAAAAAGGUACAAAGAAAUGUGAGGUUGAGAUCGCUGGUGAAAAGGGAAAGGUUGUUGAGAUAAGCGGGCAAUGGAGGGGCAGAGAAUCUGAAUCAAUGGAUUGGAAAGCAGGCCGCUGGUGGGAGCAUGGAUAUGUUAGACGUAUCGAGCUGCCAGAGGAUGCGAAUUGGAAGAAGAUAGAGGCAUACAUUGAUGAUGAGAACCUUCUUCAGAUAAAAAUACCAAAGAAUAAUUCAGACUCUAAUGCUCUUCAAACCAGUGCUGUGGAGCCUAAGGAAUCUGAAUUUGUAUGAAUCAUGGCAAGCAUUGGAAAUUUCACUAUAAAAUUACUUGAACACAAGGAUACUACUUCAUAACAUAUGUACUAAAUAAUACUAAACCUUUACUA